rnacentral:rRNA from 1 species
UUAAAUUGAAGAGUUUGAUCAUGGCUCAGAUUGAACGCUGGCGGCAGGCCUAACACAUGCAAGUCGAGCGGUAGCACAGAGAGCUUGCUCUCGGGUGACGAGCGGCGGACGGGUGAGUAAUGUCUG